GAUGAAGAACGUAGCGAAAUGCGAUAAGUAAUGUGAAUUGCAGAAUUCAGUGAAUCAUUGAAUCUUUGAACGCACAUUGCGCCCGCCAGUAUUCUGGCGGGCAUGCCUGUUCGAGCGUCAUUUCAACCAUCAAGCCCCAGGCUUGUGUUGGGGACCUGCGGCUGCCGCAGGCCCUGAAAACCAGUGGCGGGCUCGCUGUCACACCGGGCGUAGUAGAUUUUAUCUCGCUCAGGGCGUGCUGCGGGUUCCGGCCGUUAAAAAGCCUUUUUUACCCAAGGUUGACCUCGGAUCAGGUAGGAAGACCCGCUGAACUUAAGCAUAUCAAUAAGCGGAGGA
rnacentral:misc_RNA from 1 species